rnacentral:rRNA from 1 species
GAUCAUGGCUCAGGACGAACGCUGGCGGCGUGCCUAACACAUGCAAGUCGAACGGACGAGGCCCCUUCGGGGACUGAGUUAGUGGCGAACGGGUGAGUAACGCGUGAGGAACCUGCCUUUCAGUGGGGGACAACAGUUGGAAACGACUGCUAAUACCGCAUGAAGCAUAGAGAUCGCAUGGUUUUUAUGCCAAAGAUUUAUUGCUGAAAGAUGGCCUCGCGUCUGAUUAGCUAGUUGG